UCUCCAUUUCGCGCACUCUCUCACCGGUCAGAGAGGCGAGAGAGCUCGGGAAAUGAAGAGA
rfam:Pristionchus pacificus strain PS312 contig2593, whole genome shotgun sequence.